rnacentral:rRNA from 1 species
UGUGGUGGUGAAGGCGAAGAGGUCACACCCUGUUCCCAUGCCGAACACAGCAGUUAAGCUCUUCAGCGCCGAUGGUAGUCGGGUUUACCCCCGUGAGAGUAGGACGCCGCCACAU